rnacentral:misc_RNA from 1 species
GAUGAAGAACGUAGCGAAGUGCGAUAAGUAAUGUGAAUUGCAGAAUUCCGUGAAUCAUCGAAUCUUUGAACGCAAAUUGCACUUUCUGGUAUUCCGGAGAGUAUGCCUGUUUGAGGGUCAGUGUAAUAAAAAUAAAUCGUGGUUACCACUUUUCGUGGUGACGCUUCGGAAUUGAGUCGUCUUACCUUCGGUUAAGUGACUUAAAAUUUUUUCAUACGAUUUCGAAACGUAUUUAAUGUAUUAUGUAUGUUCACGAAUAUCGAAUGUUUAUUAGGUGCGGUCAUUUUCAUGAAUUCGCGUCUAUAAUUUUUUUUUUUUUGACCUCAAAUCAGGUAAGAAUACCUGCUGAACUUAAGCAUAUCAAUAAGCGGAGGA